rnacentral:misc_RNA from 1 species
AACCAAAUGACAACCAACAAAUGCAUUUGAAAGCUUGAUCUUAUAAUUAGCUUUUUCUUUUACAUCAUUUCUAAAUACCCAAAAAGUUUCCUUUUCAAUAUAGAAGUUUAAUCUAUUGUAAUAUCAGGCUUUCUCCAUACAAUUAUAGUUCUCCCAUUCCAAGAGCCCAUAUUUAACCCAGAGAUGUUAGCUUCUUGGUUGUGGGAGAGUAAACUUAAACUUUACUUUAUGGGUGAGGUUCAUCACAACUAGGGAAUCUCUAGAAAAUUUAUCAACCCCUAGGUUGUGUUUGCCACAAUGCUAAUGGGACAGGUCAUGUUACCCAUUUAUGUAUAGUAUGGUGAGAAGAAGUAGAGCCAAGCAGUUUUCGGUUAAUGAGCUGUUGAAAUUUGGUUUUCAGUUCAGUUUUCUAAUGGUUCAAUUUGGUUUGUAUUAUUAUUCUUAUAGAAUUUUGGUUUUUCGGUUAUGUUAGCUCAGUAAAAAACCGAACUAACCGAGCCGACCAAAUUAAGCUAGCUUGUCUAAGCCCUGGGCCCUGCCUCUUUACGCCCAUUCGUUCCCUAGCCUUCCCCAACAGAGGCCCAGCCCAAGUUUUCAGAGUCCAGACAUUUCCAAAGCCAAGUUUUAGAGUUUCUCAUAUUAGUUUCUCUCUCAGUUUCUCACCUCUCAGUUCUCUCUCAUAUCCAUUUCUCCAUCUUACCUCAAUCCCUAUCCUCACUUUCUCAGGCAGAUCGUUGAUUAAACACCUCCAUCACCCUUCUCUCUCUCACAUUGCAUAGUCCCUCUCUGCUCCUUUCUUUCCUCUUCCCUCAUAUCUGAUUCAAUCUCAAUCCCAACGGACCAGCAGGCAGUAGAGACUCAUCUUCGACGGAGUUUUCUCAAUCUCAAUCUCAGAACCCCGACCCCUCCAACCUUGUCCUCCGUCUACGCUCUCAAGCCAUGGCAAAAGCCAGAGUCUAGAGAUACUUGCAUGUG